GUAGGGGUGCAAGCGUUAAUCGGAAUUACUGGGCGUAAAGCGUGCGCAGGGCGGUUUUGUAAGUCUGUCGUGAAAGCCCCGGGGCUCAACCUGGGAAUUGCGAUGGAGACUGCAAGGCUUGAAUCUGGCAGAGGGGGGUAGAAUUCCACGUGUAGCAGUGAAAUGCGUAGAGAUGCGGAGGAACACCGAUGGAGAAGGCAGCCCCCUGGGUCAAGAUUGACGCUCAUGCACGAAAGCGUGGGGAGCAAACAGGAUUAGAUACCCUGGUAGUCCACGCCCUAAACGAUGUCUACUAGUUGUCGGGUUUUAAUUAACUUGGUAACGCAGCUAACGCGUGAAGUAGACCGCCUGGGGAGUACGGUCGCAAGAUUA
rnacentral:rRNA from 1 species